rnacentral:rRNA from 1 species
GGGGAAUUUUGGACAAUGGGCGCAAGCCUGAUCCAGCCAUGCCGCGUGCAGGAUGAAGGCCUUCGGGUUGUAAACUGCUUUUGUACGGAACGAAAKGUUCUGCCCUAAUACGGUGGGAAUAUGACGGUACCGUAAGAAUAAGCACCGGCUAACUACGUGCCAGCAGCCGCGGUAAUACGUAGGGUGCRAGCGUUAAUCGGAAUUACUGGGCGUAAAGCGUGCGCAGGCGGUUAUGUAAGACAGAUGUGAAAUCCCCGGGCUCAACCUGGGAACUGCAUUAG